rnacentral:rRNA from 1 species
AUUGAACGCUGGCGGCAUGCCUUACACAUGCAAGUCGAACGGCAGCACGGGUGCUUGCACCUGGUGGCGAGUGGCGAACGGGUGAGUAAUACAUCGGAACGUACCUUAUCGUGGGGGAUAACGCAGCGAAAGCUGUGCUAAUACCGCAUACGCCCUGAGGGGGAAAGCGGGGGAUCGCAAGACCUCGCGCGAUUAGAGCGGCCGAUGCCUGAUUGGCUAGGUGGUGGGGUAAAAGCCCACCAAGGCGACGAUCAGUAGCUGGUCUGAGAGGACGAUCAGCCACACUGGGACUGAGACACGGCCCAGACUCCUACGGGAGGCAGCAGUGGGGAAUUUUGGACAGUGGGGGCAACCCUGAUCCAGCAAUGCCGCGUGAGUGAAGAAGGCCUUCGGGUUGUAAAGCUCUUUUGUCAGGGAAGAAACACCGGCUCUAACACAGUCCGGGAAUGACGGUACCUGAAGAAUAAGCACCGGCUAACUACGUGCCAGCCGCCGCAGUAA